UAUAUACAUACACAUAUACAGUACACACACAUAAAUAAAUAAAUAAAUGUGAUCUUUUCGAUCGAGGAAGGUUUUGUUUUUAUUAGUAUUAUUAUUUUCAUUGUAAUCAGUGCAAAUAACAAGAAUGUUUUUAGUUAGAGAUCUAAUUAACACACAAACGAGUGUGUGUGUGUGUGUGUUUUUUUUUCUAUUUUAAUUUAAAUUUGAUUUUAAUUUUGAUUUUGAUUUAAAAAAAAUGUAUUUGGGGUUUGCAGGAAGACUGUGUGUCAAAUCAUUUUCUGUGCAGACUAAAAAAUCAAGAAUAGACUAGGUUAUUUUUUUUUGCUUUGACUGAUGAUGACGUCAGCCCCUCUAAUUAAUACUUUUUUUUUUAUUUCAAUUGACAGUUAAGAAGAAAAAAACCUUAGAUUAUAUUCCCCAAAGAUCAAGGAGUCUUUUUUUUAUUUUUUUGAUGGGUUGUUUUCAUGCAUGGAAUGGAAGCUACAUAC
rnacentral:lncRNA from 1 species